rnacentral:tRNA from 1 species
AGGAUAGUAGUUUAAUUGGAAAAAUAUUCCCCCCACAGGAAAAGUUUUGGGUUCGAGUCCCAACUAUCCAC